UGAGGGAUCUGGAAAGUCUUUGCCCCAGGCCUCUUCUGGAAGAUAUCUUUGAGGGCACAUAUCCUUGGCUCACAGAUGAUGUGGUGAAUGCCAGAAUUGUCCAGUUGGCCAGGAAAAUGGACAAUACGUUUGCUUUGCAAACAUUUCAUUUCAUUGCCUGGUGGAGAAAUUGGAUAAAUGCAGAAUCCAUCAACACACGGCAUUUGAAUGCAUCCAGG